rnacentral:lncRNA from 1 species
GCCAAGUGACGCUAGUAGCAAAAUUAUUGACAUUACCUAAAAAGUUAUGCCACAAGCAAUCUUGAGCAACUAAUACUCAGCAAGACUGACCCGACAGUGGUUGUUAAACCACUAACUUCUAGACAUGCAGGCUCCUUGGCUGUGGGUUUGUUUUUCCCAAAAGCGACUAAUGUUGAUCCUUACUUUCAAUAUUUUAGCUUAGGUUCUAAGUUCAUUAACCAGUCUAAAUUAGCAAUUUAUACUAAGCAAACAUAGUUUUCAAACAAUUAAUGACAAGCAUCAAGUUUAAUAUCAUCAUCUGUUCCAUCUUUACUCAGUGUAGCAUAGUGAUCAAGUAGUCCUAAACUGUGAGAGGCAGAUGAUUCGAAUCAAGUAAAUUAAACAUGCAUGGCGAACCUAAUCCCAUGACAUCCGCGCACCA